AACGAACGCUGGCGGCAUGCCUAACACAUGCAAGUCGAACGCCUGUAGCAAUACAGGAGUGGCAGACGGGUGAGUAACACGUGGGAAUCUACCCAGUAGCUCGGAAUAACCGCGGGAAACUGCGGCUAAUACCGGAUACGCCCCGAAGGGGAAAGGAGCAAUCCACUAUUGGAGGAGCCCGCGUCUGAUUAGCUAGUUGGUGAGGUAACGGCUCACCAAGGCGACGAUCAGUAGCUGGUUUGAGAGAACGACCAGCCACACUGGGACUGAGACACGGCCCAGACUCCUACGGGAGGCAGCAGUGGGGAAUAUUGGACAAUGGGGGAAACCCUGAUCCAGCAAUGCCGCGUGGGUGAUGAAGGCCUUCGGGUUGUAAAGCCCUUUUGUCGGGGACGAUGAUGACGGUACCCGACGAAUAAGCUCCGGCUAACUUCGUGCCAGCCGCCGCCGUAA
rnacentral:rRNA from 1 species